rnacentral:rRNA from 1 species
AGAGUUUGAUCCUGGCUCAGAUUGAACGCUGGCGGCAUGCCUUACACAUGCAAGUCGAACGGUAACAGGUUAAGCUGACGAGUGGCGAACGGGUGAGUAAUGUAUCGGAACGUGCCCAGUCGUGGGGGAUAACUACUCGAAAGAGUGGCUAAUACCGCAUGAGACCUGAGGGUGAAAGCGGGGGAUCGCAAGACCUCGCGCGAUUGGAGCGGCCGAUAUCAGAUUAGCUAGUUGGCGGGGUAAAAGCCCACCAAGGCGACGAUCUGUAGCUGGUCUGAGAGGACGACCAGCCACACUGGGACUGAGACACGGCCCAGACUCCUACGGGAGGCAGCAGUGGGGAAUUUUGGACAAUGGACGAAAGUCUGAUCCAGCCAUGCCGCGUGCGGGAAGAAGGCCUUCGGGUUGUAAACCGCUUUUGUCAGGGAAGAAACGACGUCCUCUAAUACAGGGUGUUAAUGACGGUACCUGAAGAAUAAGCACCGGCUAACUACGUGCCAGCAGCCGCGGUAAUACGUAGGGUGCAAGCGUUAAUCGGAAUUACUGGGCGUAAAGCGUGCGCAGGCGGUUAUGCAAGACAGAUGUGAAAUCCCCGGGCUCAACCUGGGAACUGCAUUUGUGACUGCAUGGCUAGAGUACGGUAGAGGGGGAUGGAAUUCCGCGUGUAGCAGUGAAAUGCGUAGAUAUGCGGAGGAACACCGAUGGCGAAGGCAAUCCCCUGGACCUGUACUGACGCUCAUGCACGAAAGCGUGGGGAGCAAACAGGAUUAGAUACCCUGGUAGUCCACGCCCUAAACGAUGUCAACUGGUUGUUGGGAGGGUUUCUUCUCAGUAACGUAGCUAACGCGUGAAGUUGACCGCCUGGGGAGUACGGCCGCAAGGUUGAAACUCAAGGGAAUUGACGGGGACCCGCACAAGCGGUGGAUGAUGUGGUUUAAUUCGAUGCAACGCGAAAAACCUUACCUACCCUUGACAUGUCUGGAAUCCUGAAGAGAUUUGGGAGUGCUCGAAAGAGAGCCAGAACACAGGUGCUGCAUGGCCGUCGUCAGCUCGUGUCGUGAGAUGUUGGGUUAAGUCCCGCAACGAGCGCAACCCUUGUCAUUAGUUGCUACGAAAGGGCACUCUAAUGAGACUGCCGGUGACAAACCGGAGGAAGGUGGGGAUGACGUCAGGUCAUCAUGGCCCUUAUGGGUAGGGCUACACACGUCAUACAAUGGCCGGUACAGAGGGCUGCCAACCCGCGAGGGGGAGCCAAUCCCAGAAAACCGGUCGUAGUCCGGAUCGUAGUCUGCAACUCGACUGCGUGAAGUCGGAAUCGCUAGUAAUCGCGGAUCAGCUUGCCGCGGUGAAUACGUUCCCGGGUCUUGUACACACCGCCCGUCACACCAUGGGAGCGGGUUCUGCCAGAAGUAGUUAGCCUAACCGCAAGGGGGGCGAUUACCACGGCAGGGUUCGUGACUGGGGUGAAGUCGUAACAAGGUA